GGGACGGAUCGGGUAGCCACAGUGCCGUGCGAUUGACGUCAUCUGUGCUCGCCUGGGAAACCGACAUACUUCAGCUUCGACAAAAACAUCCUGGCGCAUUCAAGGCAGUCUGGAGAGCUAGCUUCAUGUUGUGAUAUACCUGCAGGACCAGAUCUGGGGUGCGUUUCCCAAAAGCAUCGUUAGCCAACUAUGGUCGCAAGUUCUGUCGUUCCAGCAUUUAAGUGUUUCCCGAAAACAUUCUGCAUUCUCUAUCCAUAAUUUGAAAUACAAACAAAUUUAAUUUGACAUCUUUUACUUUGUUAAGAAAACACAAGCGCUGUUUUUAUAAAAGUGCGCAUGUGCCGAUUAAACGUGCACUAGGACCCUGGGGAAUCCCUGGGCGGAGUGGCGUAGGAGGAAACUUAUGAAUGAAUGAAAUAUCGUGAAAUGAAACAACAGAUAACAAAAUAGGAUAACUAAAGUCGCCGUUAAAUGCAAUGUAUGUUAUGUACAGCAGCAAGAAUUUGACAUUAAUUCGAUCUGAACGUAUUUAUUAAUAGACGUCAUUACUCCACCACCUGGAUGGCGUCAUCAACUAGAUUGCUGAACCAAUUGGUUCAAACGAUUGAUCUCCGACAGAGUUACUAUGUUUUCGGGAACCAGUCGUAACUACAUCGUUAAUUUCCCCAAUGAUCCAUCGUACUAUGGUGGUCAACCAGCGAGUUAUGUCGUUGUUCGGGAAAAGCACCCCUGGUCAGUUAUCAAUAUUGUUUUUAUAAAUUAAUAUUUUCUUGUCCCAUUUUCUAUCACAUAUUUGUGUCCUGAAGGCCCUUAUCUUUUCCCGUGAGAAAGUCCCGAAGACCUCAUCAAGAAUUACCUCGAUAGAAACACAGAUGUGAGGGUGACUAUAAGCAUCUUACCAUGGCAGUGUUUGCCACUCUGAAGGAUUGAUUAUGCGUAUGAUGUACAUUAUCCAUAUAUAUAUAUGUGUCUACAUUUCAUCGUCAUAAAUGCAUGUUCAGUGUAAUCUACUGAAAAACUUCUGAUGUUUCAGUUAUUUUUUGUUUGUAAGCCUGUCAAGAUAGGUUUGAAUGUGUAUGUCUUGUAAUGUGUAAGUAUGUCCAGAUUAAGGAAAAUACUGACAGUGUAUUGAAUAAAUGAAUGAAUUAAUGUUAAUAAAUAUUUC